GCGAGCGUUCCAACUGAGCGAUCUCUAUAGCGGCAAUGUCCGCAGGCAAAGGGACGGCUGGUUCGGCCUGAUCAUCGCGUUUUAAUGCUCUGCCCAUUGUUCUCGGUACGGCUAUUUUCUAGUCUCAGAGGCGACCAGAACAGGGAGCGUCGGAACUCAUCCUGUAGCAACUGGCACACAAAGCUGGCUGACAUGAGUUCCCAAGUAUAGGGGACAGAGAGACAACGCGCUAAACGCCCUGAGAGCAGUGAAGGAGGAACACAAGGAAAACACAGUCCUUCUGUGUUUCAAAUGUUGUCUACACCCAUAAAUAAGACUAAGAAAGGAGGAGCACACCCCAAUAAACUAUUUUGACUUCGUG